rnacentral:lncRNA from 1 species
CUUAUCACUGCGCAUUUUCCCGGCAAAAACAGUAUAAUCAUUUUGGGCAUUUUACAAAAUUACAACAUAAAUAAUGUCAGGCAGAACACGUAAUCUAAAGCGGCUACACAAGAAAAUACAAAAAAUGACAGUUUAGCAACUGAACGAGAAGAUUUCUUAUUGAACAAUGAGCGUAAAGCUGCAUUGUAUGAUUGCAUGAUUAAACGGAAACCGGCUGUAACUUGAAACUUAAGUUAAGUUACUCCCCAACACUGAGCAUAUGUCUAUGCUAAUGAUAAAAUCUGAUCUCAGUAAACGUCUUAAGAUGGAUAUACCCAUUAAAGCAAUAUGGAGUUAUCUUCAUACUCAUUGGAAUAUGAAUGGAAUUGAUGAAAUAGAAUAAAACCAAGGUGGGAAAAUUGAAAAAAAAAGAUUUUGAACUACCUCAAACUGAAGAGUGGAUACGUUUAAUUAAAGAACAAGGAGCCUUAAUAAAUUUCAAUAAUACAAAUACAGAUGCUAUGAAGCAAACAAGUCAAGCUGCGAUCAGUAAUGUGGAUUGAAAAACAUUAAAAUCUGUUAAGAUAAUGGUGGAAAAAUUAGACUAUAAUAGUAUGUAUGACAUGUAUGUUGAUAAAUUGCUUAAAAUAAAAUAAAAUAUAAAUAUAAAAUUGGCUCAAUGGUUUUCAUACUGAGUAGGUACCUACUUCCUCAAAUGCAAAUCCACAUUCUAAUACAAUAAUUCAUGUAGUUACUGAUAAUAGUUUGCAUGGAAACAAUAUUAAAGAUAAUUCCUCAGUUCUCUGACCUCUACUUAUUCAAUAAAGAAAUCUAAAUGUAGAUUUUCAAGUUCAAAUAAACUUUAAUUAAAAAUUAAAAAUUAAAGUUUGAUACAUUGGUCCAGCAGAUGUAAAUUGGCCCGAGCUACAUAUUUUUCCUAGAACACAUUCACUAAAUUAUAAUUUGGAUACUGAGUAAAUAAUGUCAGUUCAAUUAAUAUUGUUAUUAAAAACUGGCCAAGUGCGAGUCGGACUCGCGC